rnacentral:rRNA from 1 species
UGGGGAAUAUUGGUCAAUGGACGAAAGUCUGAACCAGCCAUGCCGCGUGGAGGAUGAAGGUCCUCUGGACUGUAAACUUCUUUUAUAUGGGACGAAAAAAGGCUUUUCUAAGUCGUCUGACGGUACCAUAUGAAUAAGCACCGGCUAACUCCGUGCCAGCAGCCGCGGUAAUACGGAGGGCGCAAGCGUUAUCCGGAUUCACUGGGUUUAAAGGGUGCGUAGGUGGGUUGGUAAGUCAGUGGUGAAAUCCCGAGCUUAACUGGGAACUGCCAUUGAUACUAUCAGUCUUGAAUACCGUGGAGGUUAGCGGAAUAUGUCAUGUAGCGGUGAAAUGCUUAGAUAUGACAUAGAACACCAAUUGCGAAGGCAGCUGGCUACACGAAUAUUGACACUGAGCACGAAGCGUGGGGAUCAAACAGGAUAGAUACCUGGUAGUCCACGCCCUAAACUAUGAUACUACGACAUC